rnacentral:lncRNA from 1 species
GAUUCCAGGUUUGUCGUUUUGGUUUUAACAACUCUUGAGUACUAAUGGUGGCAGCCAGCAGGCACUUUCUCACCUCCUGUAAUAAAUGCGGACCUGAUUCUGAAAGCUGUAGCUUUGCCCAUUAUACACAUAUAAAUGUGUAAGUGCAUUCAUUAACUCCAAAAGAAACUUAAAUUUGGCAUGAAACUGGGAGAAACUAGGAUUAAAUUAAACUUUUCCACCAGAGGGUUAUGUUAUGUCUGUUCCAUAUCAAUUCCAUUAUAAUUACAAUUAAGCUUAUAAUUAAGCUUUCCUUGUCACUCAUCUCAUAAACCCAGUUUAUUUUUUCUGUGUGUUCACCUGAUCUGAGAUGUUCUCCUUUAAGUUUUUGCUAAAUCAUUCACAUAGUCUCCAAGAAAUUUUCCUUGAUGGAUGUCAACCACUGUUACCCUUACUACCAUUUACUGUUUAUUGUCAUUUACUUUCAAUGAAGUGUUAGUCAAAGAGAGUAUUUAAGAGCUUGAAUUCUGGAGUCAAGUUCAACUCAAGUUCAAAUCCUAGCACAGGUGCUUAGUAAAACAAAUUAAUUGUAUAAAUUAAUUAUGAGGGCCAGCUGUGGGCCAGACACUGUUAUAGGUGCUAACAUACAGCACUGAGUAAGGCAGACAGAAAAAAUCUAUUCUUGAACUCAUGUUUUAAUGGUGGUAGAAGAGAAUGAGACAUGGGCAGACAAUUAAAAAUAUUAUAGACCCUAUAAAGACUUACAAAGGAAAUAAGCAAGCAGUCAUGUGAUAUAGAGUAAAUGGGGGCUGCCACUCAAGUUGGGGCAAGGGUCCAGAAAAGCCUUGAUCAGGGGAUAACAUUUAAAUUGAGACCUGAAGGACUGAGAAGAAGUCAUCUGUGCAAGGUCAGGGAAAAAAAAAUAUAUGCCAGUCGGAGGAAAAUCAAGUACCAACAUCCUGAGUAGGAUAUAACAUUCAAGAAAUAAAAAGAGCAGUGUGGACAGAAUAUGGGUUGGGGGAGUAGGGAGCAAGAGCUGUAUUUGAUAAUAAUGAAGACUAUUAAAAGGGGUUUGAAUUUUAUUAAAAAAAUUUUUUUAACGUUUAUUCAUUUUUGAGAGACAGAGAGAGACAGAGCAUGAGUGGGGAAUGGGCAGAGAGAGGGAGACACAGAAUCCGAAGCAGGCUCCAGGCUCUGAGCUGUCAGCACAGAGCCCCAUGCAGGGCUCUACUAACUCACGAACUGCGAGAUCAUGACCUGAGCCCAAGUUGGAUGCUUAACCAACUGAGCCACCCAGACGCCCCUGAAUUUUAUUCUAAGAUUGGGAUCAAAUAUGGUGACUUUGCUUGGCUCUUACAUAGAUUUUUAGAAUGCUGAAUUGGAUCUAAAUAUUUAAAAAUUAUGAAAUGCUACAUAAAUUCCCAGUAUAUUAUGCAUGUACAUAUAUGUGUGCUGUACACGAAGAUUUGCCUAAUUAUGAAAAAAAUUGUGUUGAGGCACUUUGGGUGGCUCAUUUGUUUAAACAACCAACUCUUGAUUGUGGCUCAGGUCAUGAUCUCGAGGUUCUUGAGAUUCGACCCUGUGUCUAGUCUGUGUCUGACAGUGCAGAGCCUGCUUGGGAUUCUCUCUCUCUCUCUCUGCCCCUCCCCUGCUUGUGCCCUCUCUCUCUCUCAAUAAAUAAAUAAACUUAAAAAAAUUGUGUUGACUCAGUUUUCUUACACACUCCAGUUGAACACAAUAUUCUGGGUGAUGGUUAGAUCAAGGAAAGAAAAUAUUCCUUUGUCUACACCAAGUCACAGCACAGGACAGUGAGCCUCUGCCUCUUCCAUGUCAAUAGACUCUUCUACACAAUGGUGUUGACAAAAAGGAUAGGUGAGGAAACAGAUUUUUGAGCCUGGAAUAUGGGAGCAAAGUCAAGGCUGGUCUUGUAAAUUUGGGCAUCAUCAGAGUUUAGGUGUUUGCAAAUCAAGGGAAUGAGAUCACCUAAGAAGACAAUAAAGAUAGAAUGGGGAACCAAAAGGAGCCCUGGGUCAUGCUAACAUUUAAAAAUAAGUUUAGGUAAAGGAACAGGUAUCAUCAGAAGAGACUAAUUAGGAUCAUAAAGUAACAGAAAAAUCAGAAGAAAAAAAAACAAUUAAAGGAGGAAGACAUGGUAAACUGUGAGAUUGCAUAUUAUGAAAACAGUUCAAGAGGCCAGAAAUCCAAAGGCUAAGUGUCUGCAUGGUCGGUUCCUCAUGGAGACUGAUGGAGAAUCUAUCCCAUGUCUCUCUUCUAGCUUCAAGGGAUUCUGGCAAUUCUUGGCAGUCCUUGACUUGUGGAUGCAUCACUAAUAUCUGCCUCCAUCAUCACAUGGCCUCUCUUUGUGUCUGUGGGUCUGUGUCUCCAUUUUCUCUUCCUAUAAGGACACUAGUCAUUGGAUUAGAGUCCACUCUAAUAUGGUAAGACCAAAGACCUCAUUUCAACUAAUUACAUCUUUAAGGACCUUACUGCCAAAUAAAGUCUCCUUCUGAAGUUCCAGGGAGGCAGUAAUUCGAAGGGCUGGGGUGGGGGAAUUACUCAACCCAGUACAGAUAGGUUGCAAAAGCGUGGCCCAAUGCAUACUACAGUUUACAAACACUGUUACAAAAGCAUAAACAAUGUUUGAAGUCCUUUUAAACAUAAUUAAUUAAACAGGGUGUUUCACACCAUUGAAAUUGCUUUUUUUCAAAUGCUAGAAUACCUAUUUCACUGCCAAAUAUAAUAGCCCUCAAGAAUUUAUGUGUCAGGGGGAUGGAAUAAGGGGUAGGGGUAUACACUCCUCAAAAUCUGAGACUGGUCUGUGACGAAAAGAGCAUAACAUUCAUGUUGUCUAUACCAACCUCUAAUGUCUUUGCUAAAAUUUUAGAGCUAUUUUUUUUUUGAGAAUGUAUAACACUGCUAGCUACUCUGCGUUUCAUAACAAUGGCAAUAUAUUUUAAGUCCAUAUUUGAAACCCAUUACUUGAAAAGGAUGUUGGUAUUGCUUCCAGGUGCAUAGUGAGAGUGGCUUCUAUGGGUUGAAAAUAAAAUUAUUGCCAUUUUCAAAAUAUUGAUGGUCAAUGAAGAGAAGGGAUAGACUAUUUGAAAUCUAGGAAGUUUUAGAAAAACCCAGAGAAUACCCUUCCUGAGCCUCAGAAAGAACAAUGAUAACGGUCUUGGAAAGAUAAAAUGGAAUGCAUAAGAAAAUAUAUUCAAUUUCUUAAUAUUAUUAGAUAAUUGAUCCAAGUUUUGGAACUGUGGUGAUUUUUUUUCCCAAUUCAACUGAAUGUUUCCAGCAUUCUUCUAACAGAAUUGAACGCAAAGCAAAUGAGAAAGGCAUCUUGGCAAAAACCUAUCUUUGUCAUAAAUUUAUUAUGGUUCUCUAAUAAAAACCUGUUUUAACUCAACUGGGGAUUUCAGAAGGUUUUUCUCAGAGAAAAGAAAAAACCUUCUAUGUAUUCAAAACUAUGUGAUGUUUUCCUUAUAAGGGAACUUAUUACAUUAGCAUUUGAUUAGUUUGAAUGUCUAAUUUCCACUCUAGAGUAAAAAAGGGUCAGUGAGGACUAUUUUUAAAAGGAGAUGUAUUUAUUAUCGUCAUAAUCAAUGUAAAUCUCAUCAUUAAAAUUGCCCACAAUUCUUCACAUUUGACAACUUCUUUCUGUUCUGGUUUUGAGCAUUAAUAUGUCAAGCACACCAAGGUGUUCACUAAUAAAAUCCUUUCAAGUAGAGUCAUUACCAGGUGAAUAGUUAACUGUGAUGAGGGCUUUACUUUCACAAGGCAUAAUACAUGCAGAAAAUCCCACAGGUUGUGAAGUCACUAGGAUAAAGCAUGGGCUGGAUUCUGGGCCCCUACCUGCCUCACAGAGUGACCUGGGACAAAUAACUUCUCCAAACUUAGAGUCCUCAUCUACAUGAUGUUGCACUGUUCGUAAAGCUUAGCAACAUAUUUUUGGAAAUAUGCCUACCACGCAUAUUAGUCACUUAAUAAAUAUUUGUUCUUUCUUGUCUUUCUAAUCCCUGACCACCUCUUUCAAAUGGAAACACCAGCUGCCAAGGGCAUCACAAACAUUCUGAAGGGUACAAGUUGGUCAGAAUUUAUUGGAGCCUAUGCUGAGGGUGAGAAGAGGCCCGCAGUGGAACUUCUCAAUGGACCAGCAAUAGCACCAAAGUGGUAGGAAAAUAAAUCAUUGUGAUAAUUUAUGAUUUAACACAGAGAUGGAAAAAAAACCAGUAUUUACUGAGAGCUGGUAUAGUCUUGGCACUUUUACUUAUUCAUUUAAUUCCUAUGUCUUCCUUAUAUAGUGAAAUAAGUAAUUCUUUAUAGAAAGUGAAACUGAGGUUCAGAAAGCUGAUGUAACUUGCUGAAGGUCACAUAUAGUAUAUAGCAGUAUAGAAACAAGACACUGAUGUUUGAUAUAACUUUGCCUAAUCCAGUGACACAUACUGAUAAAGAUCAGUAAGUUGUCUGUUCGUUACAUCAAAGAAUAAGAAGAUCAAACUCUCUGAUUGGUAAAUCAUCCUUCAAUUUAGGGCAAGCACAAAAAUAUGAAGGGAGAACUAUAAUAACAACAUUAACUUUAGAGUCUGACAGUGCUGGAUUUGAAUCCUGGCUCUGCCACUUAUUAUCUAUUAUCUUUUAUCUAUGUUUCACUGGGGAAAUUGUUAAACUUCUUAAGCUACACUUCCUCAUUAAAAAAUAAGGAUAAUAAUGUUACCUAUUUCAUAGGUAUAUAUGUAUGUAUAAUAAUAAAUAAUGUAAAUAAUGCCUCUAAAAUACUUAAGACAGUUCCUGGCAUAUAAUAAUGAAUUUAUUUUUAGUUGUAAUAAGAUACUGCAGUCUCAAAGUGUUUCACAAAGUUUGAAUUAAUAACUUCUUGUACCAGAUUCCCUAAGGAUCUUAUUAAAUAAGAAGGUUCCUGGGCCUAGAUCCACACCUCAUGAAUCAGAAUAUUUGGGCAGUAGGAAUUUGCUUUUAACAAGUUGCACAGAUAUAGUUGAUAUCAGAUCCUGGUGCUAUCCAUCAUUCAUUCACUCCUUUCCAUUUGGGGGACUAUACUACACCAACCCCCUCUUUUUUUUUUUUUUUUUUUUUUUUUUUUUUUACUUCUGGUGGCAAAUCUACCUGUCACUGUUGCCUGACUGUUAUUCCCUAGCCACAGACACUGGGACUGAUCUGUCCCAAUUGGUACUGAUGUGAUGUAUAUAGGCUUUUGCUGAAAUAGGAGGACAAAUAUAAGCACUCUCUCCUGUUGGAUACAGACCUGAAAGGCUGUACCUCUGGGAAUGCUGGCAGCCAUCUUGUGGCCAUAAGGCAGGGUGGCUAUCUGAGAAUGAAGCCAGAGGAAGCAGAGCCAAAAGAUAGAGACAAAAGUCUCAAAUUGAUGGUGACAUCUGACACCACACUAACUCCUACACUUUUCAGUUAUAGAACCAACAGAUUCCCUUUUUUGGUUACACUGCUUUGUAUCAUGUUUAUUUUUGUUAUAAAAAUACCAAAGGCCAUAACAAAUCUGAUAAUAUACACGCAAUUAUUUUGUCAAAUGCUUACUAGCUAGGUCUUAAUUCCAUACCCCUGCAUACCUUGAUAUAUUUGGCUGGACCAUAUAUGGGCCCUAAGAAUUCUUUUUGCUUAGGCUUGAGGCAAGGUAAGUGGCCUCCUAGAUCUCUCUCUUCUAAGCUGAUACCUGGAUCUUGGCCUUCUAGGGCAUGUAAAACAUAUCCAAGAAUACAACCCUGAUGCUUUGACUGAAACUUGAUCCUACUAGCCAGAGGCAUAAAUUCAAAUAUGUAAAGGAGCCAUGGAGGAAAAAUGAUUAAGCAAAACAGGCUGGAAGUCCAAGGAAAAUACCAAGGCAAAUCUGGUAUUAAAUGUUAAUAAGACAAUGGGGAAUAGGAAGAUAAGAGUAUUUGGGGGCUCUUGCCUCCUUUAAAAGGAGCAGCUGUUACUCAACUCCAACCAAAAGUUGCAAUGGAGGGAUGCAGUUCCAGUAUUACCAUCCCCCCAUCCUGACUUUUAUAUGAAGUCUUCUGAAUUUUAAACUUUAACAACUAGUUGAGAUUUUUGACAUAUACAGUGCAAGCUGACACAGUGAGGGCCAAACUACAUGCAGACAUGAGGCACCCUAUUAUCUCCUUGGUAGACCUUUCAAGAGGUGGCAGAGAAGAGAGUUAUUGGGGAUACUUUCACAAAUAGAAUUCACCCCAAGUCCAUCUACAGAUACAUGGAAGAAAAGAAAAAGAUCUAUAACCAAAUACAACAAGCAGAAAUGUCUUUAAUCAUAAGUUUGUUUGGUGACUACCAUCUGGGCUUCUUAGGAAUGCAUUAUACUCUUAACUCAUAUAAGGUCUUCUUCCUCUCAGGGGGCAGGUAUAUUUUUUCCCCAGAAAUAAAGUUGUGAUGCUAGCAGAGUCUAUGCAUCUGUUUUCUUAUUUUUCCCUUUUUAAAGCUGGUAAGAGGGUCUUCUGGCUUCUUUCUCUCCAGAAGGCAUGAUUAGCCAGAAGUCUCGCCCCAGGCAAGUACAAAUUGACAUUACAAUUCUAAGAGAAGCAGUAACUUGAAUCCAUUUGAUUAAUAAAUUGUGUUUACAUAUGCUUUCAACAUAGGCUUAUCUAAACUGUGGUAAUUUCCUCUUACUCAACACAUAUUCGUUCUACUUUUAGAUUUUCAGAUAUCUGGGAAAGGCACAGAGAAUCAAUGAUACAAAUUAAAAAAAGAAGUGUUUCUAAUUCAGUCCUUCAAGAUUGAGAAGCCCAUGAAAAUUCAUAACACAUGGUCUUCUCCGUCUAAACAUUUGUAGGUAGGAGCAUGCUAAAAUGAGCAUCUAAGGCAGCCAAGAAAGGAGAAGAAAGACUCCAGGAAGGCUAACAUAAAACCUUUGGGAUAUGAAGUGAUGAUGUGAUUGUUCUCAUAUUAAUGAGGAAGUGCGGAGAUCUCAUGGUUGCUUAGACCCCAAAAGUCCAUUUCCACUCUAUCUACCAUCUCAGUCCUCAUCACAUACACAAAAGUAUUCAGGGUUCUGGGCUAUUGCUCUAAUUUCUAAUUUGUGGGCUAUUGUUCUAGUUCCAUGUAUCCUAUGGAAAUCGGGAGAAGUGGAGGACUAAUAGAGGACUAUUUCUCAGAUGAUCAGGGAAGCUACUGGUUCCAGGAGUAAAUAUUUGCUAUUUCCUUUACUAGCAAAUGGGGUGUUUAGAAAAAAAUAUCAACAUAAAUUUAAGGUGCAAAGAAGAUGGAAUUGGAACCCAAACAAGAGUUUACUGGAUUGCUGGCCAAACAUGUAUGAAAUCACUAGUCCCUGAGUAGGACAUCUCCCAAGCUAAAUAAACAGAAGUUCUAAUUCUAUACUACAACUUGGAUAAUUUUAUCCUACUCAAGAUAACUAGUUCAUCUGAAAGGUGUGGUGAACAAUACUAGUGCUUACAAAUAUCUGCUUCUUUUCUCAUCCCUAGGACAUACGAGACUAAUUCUCAAAGCCUCAUAAUGAGGUAGGUCAUGUGACUAGCUCUGAGCAAUAGAAUAAAAGCAUAGAAGAAGUAGGUGAGGUCUUUAUACACUUCCUUCUCUUAAAAAAACAAAAAUAGGACCACACAUCUCAGAUGACACAAGUUUGGUUAGUGGAGCUCCCAUCAGCCAGGAAUCUGGAGUGACCAUACAGAGAAGAGCUCCAUGUUGACAGAAAAUAAGCAGGUAACAUGGGCAAAGAAUAAGCUUUAGUUAUGUUAAGGCCAUGGGAUUUCAGAGUGAAUUUUUACUGCAGCAUAGAAUAGUCUAUCCUGACCAGUAAAAAGGGAUGCCAAGAAAGCAAGGAGAUUGCCUUAUCUCUGGGGCUAGGGGAAAGAAAUUAGAAGCAGAGAAGGCAGCUAGGAGUAAGCUCUCCUAUCUUCCUUCUGUCCUCCUGCCUUCCUUUAAUCCUUGUUCUCCACACACACAAAAAUGCACGCAUUCUGUCAACUUUCAGUUCUAUAUUCACACAUAUGCCAACUUUAUAAAAUGAAAAUAACUGGGAAAACACGUAAAGUAUACAGCUUAAUCUUGUGCAUAAUUUAAAGAUUUAAAAAUUUUUAUGUAUUCAAAUGCAUUCAUGAAAGGAGACAUUAGCAUGAAAAGCAGAUUAGAAGUUGGUUUUUAGUUCUCUUAGUCUUACUGUUCUUUGCCAAACAUUUUCUUGGUAGCACAUACCUAUCUCCUCUUCUCUUCCAAAGAUACACAGGGUCCUAGGAACUUUUUCUACCCUAUUAAAAUCCACACUCAGAAAACACUAUACACUCGUUCACUUACUUAGUCUUUGACACAACUUGUGUGUGGCAUGUGUUAUGUCUUUAUCUACCCUCAAGGGACUCCCAGGUAAGUAGGAAAGCUAGUUUGCAAAUAAAUCCUUUGCAAAGUGAAGUGUGUGGUAUAGAUGUCUGCACAAGAGCAGGGACUAGGAGAAGCAAACACAUAUAAUGUGAUCAUCUUGGGACGUCGAGAAAAGAUUUACUGAGAAGGAUGUGAUGACUUCUCUUUAAAAGACUUACCAGAGAUAUUCUAGUGAAUUGUUGGAGAAGGGUGAGAUUAGAGGCAAGAGGCAAUGGAUUCAUAAACUAGGACAGUUAGCAAGAAAAAUGGAGAAAAGAGGACUGUGGCAGAGAUAUUAGGAAGCAGACACUAAUUUGGAUUUGAGGAGUAAAGAAGAGGGAGGAGUCCAAGAAUAUUCUAGACAAAGAGUCAGUGAAUUUUUUCUACAAUGGCCUAGCUGGUAAAUAUUUUAGACUCUGUGAGCCAUAUACAGCCUCUGUUUUAUGUUUUUUAUUUUGUAUUAUAUUUAAAAAAUAUAAAUGUCAUUCCUUGUUUGAGGCAUGGAUUUGACCCACAGGCCAUAGUUUUUGCCAACCCACCUUCUAGGUUAGAAUACCCCAAGGGGAAUAUGUUGACUUAGAUUAGAGGAGAAAAGGGUCAGCCUGAAAAGGAAACUGGAAAGUAUGGGCUAAUACUACUAACUAGUUCACUGUUUUAUCACAAAUAGAAAAGCUCUUUCAAUAAGAUUGACAUUUCGGCAUACUGAUUGAAUUUCCCUUCAUUACAAAAUCCAUUUUUAUAACAUGUUCUUAGUUUUGGAAAAUAAAACUUUCAUUUAUUACUCUUAUAGUGCUUAAGAAAAAAAAAUUAAAGUUUUAAGUCUUAUUUGCCCAGUGUAGGCUUUUGUGUCCUACUUGUCAGUUUUUGGUUAUAACAUCCUAAAUACUUGGAAUUAAGGAUAUAGGUUUCUUCAACCCUAAAAUUUGUGUGGAACCACAAAAGACCCUGAAUAGUCAAAGCAAUCCUGAGAAAAAAGAACAAAAUGGAGGUAUCAUGCUUCUGGAUUUCAAACUACACUUACAAAGCUAUAGUAAUAAAAACAGUAUAGUAUGGGCACAAAAAUAGAUGCAUAGACCAAUAGAACAGAGUAGAAAGCCCAGAAUUAAAUCCCAGCAUAUACAAUCAGUUAAUACUGGACAAGAGAGCCAAAAACACCCAGUGAGGAUGGGAUAGGCUGUUUAACCAAUGGUGCUGGGAAAACUGGAAAAAAACACAUGUAAAGCAAUAAAAUUGAACUCCGAUCUCACACCAGUCACAAAAAUUAACUUCAAAUGGAGCAAGGACUUAAACAUGAGACCUAAUACCAUAAAACCCCUAGAAGACAGUGUAGGGAAGGCAUUCACUUAUUUGGUCCUGGAAAUGAUUUUUUUUUUGAAUGUAGCAAAAGCACAAACAACAUAAGCAAAAAAUUAACAAAUAGGACUACAUCAAACUCAAAAGCUUCUGUAUAGCAAAAGAAACAAUAAAACUAAAAGACAGCCUAUGGAAUGGGAGAAAAAAAAUUUCCAAACCAUAUAUUGGAUAACGUGUUAAUAUCAAAAAUACAUAAAGAAUUUAUAUAACUUAAUGACAAAAAACAAUGAUUAGAAAAUGGGCAGAAGAACAAAAUAGACAUGUUCCCCAAGAGGGCAUCAAAGUGGUUAAUAGGCUCAUGAAAAGAUGCUUAACAUCCCUAAUCAUAAGGGAAAUGCAAAACAAAAUCACGAGAUAUCACCUCACAUCUGUUAGAAUGGCUAUCAUCAAGAAGAAAAUAAGUGCCGGCAAAGAUGUGGUAAAAAGGUAUCCUUAUAUGUUGUUGGUGGGAAUGUAAACUAGUCUAAUCACUAUGGAAAACAAUAUGGAGGUUCCUCAAAAACUUCAAAAUAGAUCUGCCAUAUGAUCCAGCAGUUCCACUCAUGGGUAUUAUGUAGACUAUAUACACAAUGGAACUAUUCAGCAAUGAGAAAGGAGGCUAUCCUGCCAUUUGUGACACACACAUAGAUGGCCCCUGAGAAUUCUAUGGGAAGUGAGAUAAGUCAAAGACAAGUACUGUAUAAUAUCGUGUAUAUGCAGAAUCUAAAAGAGUCAAACCUGUAAACAAAACAGAACAAAACAAAACAGAGUAAAAUGGUAGUUUCCAGGGGAAUGGGGGUGAAGGAAUAAGAUUGAUGAUAUUUAAGAGUACAAAUUUGGGGGCAUCUGGGGAGUUCAGUCCCUUGAGGCUCCAACUUUCUCUCAGGUCUUGAUCUCAUGGUUUGUGAGUUCAAGCCCCUCAUUAGGCUCACUGUUGUCAGCACAGAGCCUGCUUCGGAUCCUCUGCCCCCUGUCUCUCUGUCCCUCCCCCGUUCACACUUUCUCUCUCAAAAAUAAACAUUAAAAAAAUUUUUUUUAAAAAGAGUACAAAUUUGUAACAAGUACUAAAUAGGCCACAGAGAUCUAAUGUAUAGUAUAUUGAAUUUAGACACUCCUAAAUAUGUAAUGUGUAAAUACCAUUAUAACAACAACCAUAUUACAAUGCAUCAAAAUAAUACUCUGUAUACCUUAAUUUUACACAAUAUUACAUGUCAAACUUAUCCAACUUAAACAAAAAAAAGCUCCAGCCCUCCUUUGUCAUUAUUUGCAUUGCUUGCUCUUUUUUUUGAUAGGUGUAUUCUAGAGAAAUAAACAAAUGAAAAAAAAUGAUAAUAAUAAUAAUAACAAUACUACUACUACUACUACUAAUAAAGAAGUAAAUGCAAUGUGAGAUCCUGAAUAGGAUCUUUGAACAUACACACAAAAUGGAUAUUAGUUUAAAAAGUAGUGGCAUUCAAAUAAGGUUUAUAGUUAAUGGGAUUGUACCAAAGCUAAUUUUCUGGUUUUGGUAAUUGUGCUAUAGUUAUGUAAAAUGUUUAUAUUAGAAAAAUCUAAUGUUACUUCUACAACUUUUCUGUAAGGAAAAAAUGAGUUCUAUAUAAAAAGUUUAAAAGUAAGAAAAAAAAGAAUACAGGUUUCUUAUUACAAAGCCAUAACCCAUUAUAUUCUUUAAUAGUAGAUGCUUUUUGGCUUGAUGUACAAUAGAUGCUUAACACAUGUUAUUUGAGUCAAUUAAUUAAAAUGAUAAAAUAUCCAUUGAAAAGUAAAUUUCUAUUCAUAUGGGAUAUAAUCACUAGUUUCACAAGGCUUAAAAGUUUACAACUUUGGGAGUAUAUAAAUCAGUUAGGAGAGAUGCCUUUCAAUAUUAUCUAUAUUUUUACAUUUGGAUUAAAAGAUGACAAUGGAGGGGCGCCUGGGUGGCUCAGUCAGUUGAACGGCCAACUUCAGCUCAGGUCAUGAUCUCUCGGCCUAUGAGUUCGAGCCCCGAGUCGGGCUCUGUGCUGACAGCUCAGAGCCUGGAGCCUGUUUCGGAUUCUGUGUCUCCCUCUCUCUGACCCUCCCCCAUUCAUGCUCUGUCUCUCUCUGUCUCAAAAAUAAAUAAAUGUUAAAAAAAAAAUAAAAAAAUAAAAAAAAAUAAAAGAUGAGAAUGGAGAAAUGUCUUUUAUUAUAUCCUAAAUAGAAUUUCUAGGCUUUCACUUAUAGAAAACUGCCCCUUUUCUUUCUAAUUAUUAUUACAGUAUGUGCACAGACAAGCACAUACAUUAAUUCCUGUUUAUCUGAGGGUGGAUUAAGUGGUUUCUGGAAUAACAGGUUUGUGGAUUAGCCAGUUUUCAGAUGGAGGUGGUUAAGGUACAGCAGAGAUUUGGGAUUAGGUCACUUCCCCUACAGAGGCAUAUAAUCAAGCCCUGGGGUAUUAGUCCUAAUUAUCAGUUCCCCAGUGGUUGGAUGACAGGAUUCCAGGUCAUGCAAUCUGGCACACUUGAUCUACUCUACUAAAAGCCCUACCCAAGGUUUGGCUUCCCAGCUCCUCACCUUGGAGAGCUGUCCUUCAAUUCCAAUUUCAUACAUUACCUAAUUGUUUAGCCUCGCUGGAGAACGAGAUCUUUCCAGAUGGCAGCUGUGGUUUAUCCAAUGUUUGACUGAUCUGCAAACUGGCCUCACUACUUUGAGGUAGUGAAGAGUUGACUGUCUUUAAACUUGUGUGGUUUGGGCUUAUCUGUAACCUAUUUUAUUUCCACGUACCCUAAGAUUAUCUCUGAUAGUCAAGUAUUGAAUGUAAUCAUAUGUCAUCCCUUAAAUUUCUGUAAAAAUAUAAAUUUUACAGCAUUCUGACUAGUUCUGUUUUAUCGUACAAAAUAUUUAUUUCAUUUCAGGGAUCCUAUAACAUAGUCCUAUUUGUUUUCAAUAUGAUACUUCUAUGACAAUGUAAAAUUCUCCAAUUCAUAAGUCUGUGUUUUUAAUAUUCAACUCAAAAAAAAAAAACUAGGCUGAAAUUUAUAUUUGUACUUAGGGACAGGUUUCCAAAUGCUCAGAGUGACCUGAAUAUUAGUAUCAACUCUUUACCCCCAAAUGUAUUCACUUUAUAAACAUCAUCCAUAUCUUGUAACUUUAUACUGCAUUCUUUAAUUCUAAAAUACAAAGCAAUACAUACAAAAGAGCUUAAGAAAAGUUAAGAAAAAUACCAAAUAAAGAGAUCUAUUCCUAGAAACUGAAACCCAGAGAGGGUUUAUCCUUUCAAUACCAGGGGAAAAAAAUGACCAGAAUGGGUCAGUGAGAAGGAGGUAUUGGAAGGACAUAGGAAGAAGAAGCAAUUAAUGAAUCCAAAUGUGAAAGAAAGCAAAUGAGAGAAGAAAGAAAGAAAGAAAGUGAAAGAAAACUUAGAGCUCUUGCUGGCCUCAUUUUAAGCUGUAUGCCUCUCUUUUCAAUAGUUUGUAUAAUGUAAGUAGAAAAAAUACUGACAUUUGUAGCAAGGCUGAAGGCAAGGCACACAGAGACAUGCAAAGUACACGUAUGUUUCUGAAUUAAAGCUGUUGGGUGGGAAAACAGAGUAACCUUUGUUCCUCUAGGUAUUUCCAAAAUGAGUUACAUUUUUAUAGUUUCUCCUUCAAUCUUGGGUAGAUCCAAUUAGGUAAACCUUGGAGGAUGUAUUAAUCGUCACAGCUGUCGGUUUGUAUGUACCAUGUUGUAUCUGGUACCAUGUUGUUAAAUCAGAUGGCUCAGGGAGCUAAGUUUACUUUUGGAAUACUUCUAGUUCCUUGAUCAUGGCUAAACAUUUUGUUUUCCUCCUCAAUCCAUUAAACUGAAAUGUUUAAACAAUAUAUUGAAUCAAUUAAUGAGUAUAAAAAUCAAUAAAUAGAAUUCCUUCUUUUUCUGCUUUUUUUAUUCCCUUUUCCAGUUCCUUGCACAUUCAGGCUUCGUCUGGGAUACCCAGAGCUCCAAGGAUGCUGUUCUGCAGGACUUAGGAAGCUAGAGACAUUGAAAGCCUCUACCUGUUUCCUCCUCAACUUCAGAACUUGCAUGACUCUGGAAGUGACAUGCUUUAAUGAAAGCUUUUCAGAUACUCCAGUUCUCUGCCUCCCAGAGAGGCAGUUCUGGUUAUUAGGUUGAGGGUAGAAGCAAGAAGUAUCUCUUCCGGGCCAAGGCAUUGAAUUACUAAUGCAACACCCUCUAGAGUGCUUUUUGCCCAGACUCUAGUGACCAGUAAUAUUUGAGAUAGUGAUUACUCUGUUAACCUGAACCUCAGAGAAAAGAGAUGUGGAGCAGAGCCCCAGCUCAGCUGCAAAAGGCAUGAAGUGAAAAUGAGAGAUAAACCAUUGUUUUCAGACACCAGUGACUUUGGAGAAUAUAUUUUUCUGUAGCAUAACCUAGCUUGUACUCUGACUGAUACAUCAUCCAGUACUUCUCCCCUCCCAUUUUGGAUACAUGAAAAUAUUGACUCAUCGAGGGCAGAGACCAUCCAUGUUGUGAUAUUCUCUUGGGUUUUGUCAGUG